rnacentral:rRNA from 1 species
AUUGAACGCUGGCGGCAGGCCUAACACAUGCAAGUCGAGCGGAUGAGGAGUGCUUGCACUCCGAUUCAGCGGCGGACGGGUGAGUAAUGCCUAGGAAUCUGCCCGAUAGUGGGGGACAACGUUUCGAAAGGAACGCUAAUACCGCAUACGUCCUACGGGAGAAAGUGGGGGAUCUUCGGACCUCACGCUAUCGGAUGAGCCUAGGUCGGAUUAGCUAGUUGGUGAGGUAAUGGCUCACCAAGGCUACGAUCCGUAACUGGUCUGAGAGGAUGAGAAGUCACACUGGAACUGAGACACGGUCCAGACUCCUACGGGAGGCAGCAGUGGGGAAUAUUGGACAAUGGGCGAAAGCCUGAUCCAGCCAUGCCGCGUGUGUGAAGAAGGUCUUCGGAUUGUAAAGCACUUUAAGUUGGGAGGAAGGGCUGUAGGCUAAUAUCCUGCAGUUUUGACGUUACCAACAGAAUAAGCACCGGCUAACUUCGUGCCAGCAGCCGCCGCAG